GCUCCCUGCAGUUGGAGGUCUGAGAGGGGGCGUUCGCUUGCCUGCUACCACGUCCAGUAUGACAGAGGACUCCGCGGCCCGAGAAAGCAGUUGAUUUAGAAGAAGGAAAGACCCUGCCCUGCAGAAUCAUUAUGGAAGCUACUGAGUGACAAGGCAUCCCUGCAUUGGUCCUUUAUAUGACAAGGUUCUGAAAAAAGAGGACAGCACCUCCUAUGAAGAGCAUGGAGACCCUAACGAGAUGCAGCCACCUCUGGUGAUACGUUAUUGUCAAGAACCUGGACACCGGCUGAAGUCAGGGUCCCACCAGCAUUUGGGGACCUCCCCCAGCCCAUUCAUAUCAUUGGCACCAUGUUCUUGGACUUCUCAGCCUCUGGAUUGGUAAACUAAUUAAACCUUUAUUCUUUAUAAAUUACCCAGUCUGGGGUACUCAGUUACAGCAACAGAAAAUGGACUAAGACAUGCCCUCUGCCCAGUUAUAUAUCAUGUAGCAUAAUGAUUACCCUGAUAUAUGUAAUAUUUUUUUUGGGUCUUGAUAAUAUAAAAUGGCCUAACUUGGAUUGGAUUAAUAUGAAAUAAAGGAGAUUUCCAAUAAUAUGAUAUGUAGGAUUUGCUUACAAAUAAUAAGAGGUAGAGGGCCAGGCACAGUGUCUCACACCUGUAAUCCCAGCACUUUGGGAGGCUGAGGCGGGCAGAUCACAAGGCCAGGAGAUUGAGACAAUCCUGGCUAAUACAGUGAAAUCCUGUCUCUACUAAAAAUACAAAAAAUUUGCCAGGCGUGGAGGCACGUGACUGUAGUCUCAGCUACUCAGGAGGCUGAGGCAAGAGAAUCGCUUGAACCCAGGAGGCGAAGGUUACAGUGAGCUGAGAUCACAC
rnacentral:lncRNA from 10 species